GAAUAUGAAGCAAAAUUUGCAAUUAGUUUCGCCCUAAUCUUAGAUAAUUAAAUAUCCUUAUUCU
rnacentral:tRNA from 1 species